rnacentral:rRNA from 1 species
UACGGAGGGAGCUAGCGUUGUUCGGAAUUACUGGGCGUAAAGCGCGCGUAGGCGGCUUUGUAAGUUAGAGGUGAAAGCCCGGAGCUCAACUCCGGAACUGCCUUUAAAACUGCAUCGCUUGAAUCCAGGAGAGGUGAGUGGAAUUCCGAGUGUAGAGGUGAAAUUCGUAGAUAUUCGGAAGAACACCAGUGGCGAAGGCGGCUCACUGGACUGGUAUUGACGCUGAGGUGGCGAAAGCGUGGGGAGCAAACAGG